AGAUUGAACGCUGGCGGCAUGCCUUACACAUGCAAGUCGAACGGUAGAGUAGCAAUACUUGAGAGUGGCGAACGGGUGAGUAAUAUAUCGGAACGUGCCCAGUCGUGGGGGGAUAACGUAGAGAAAUUUACGCUAAUACCGCAUACGAUCUAAGGAUGAAAGCGGGGGACCGUAAGGCCUCGCGCGAUUGGAGCGGCUGAUAUCAGAUUAGGUUGUUGGUGAGGUAAAAGCUCACCAAGCCGACGAUCUGUGGCUGGUUUGAGAGAACGACCAGCCACACUGGGACUGAGACACGGCCCAGACUCCUACGGGAGGCAGCAGUGGGGAAUUUGGACAAUGGGCGAAAGCCUGAUCCAGCAAUGCCGCGUGCAGGAAGAAGGCCUUCGGGUUGUAAACUGCUUUUGUACGGAACGAAACGGUCUGUCUUUAAUACAGUGGCUAAUGACGGUACCGUAAGAAUAAGCACCGGACUAACUACGUGCCAGCAGCCGCGGUAA
rnacentral:rRNA from 1 species